UAGCAUUUCGCCUUUUAAGUGAUAACACGGGCGAGUUUAUCAUCUUUGUCGCUUUGAAAUUGAAUAAAUGAUGACAGAUACGCGUCUCACUGGUUAUCUUUGCCCAGGUAACGAAUUGGGAGCCUAGUUUUGCCAAAAACGAGCUUCAACUCGCGCUCUUGACGCCAUUAGCUAUCAAAGCUAUCAUAACCGCGUCCUUAAAUAAAACGACUUUUGACGUUAAAGUGCUCAAAAUGGAUGCGUUUAUUCCAAAGGAGGAUGAAAGGAUGCGACAUAGGUUCGAUAUUGCCCCCUGCAAUACAAAUUGACUCUCUGAUGUCAGCGGCGCGGAUGGGUUUUGCGUGACCAGCCUGUCAAUUCCACUGAUUCAUCCUCCACCUGGACUCUGAGCUUUAGUCCGUAAUGGAGUGGCCUAGCGACCUAGCGGCUAACCGCGUCUUUGGAUUUGAAGCGUCGACUUGUGAUGUGGGCAAUACCAGGUUUCAAGUUUCCACACUUAAAUAUUUUUCAUUCUCAAGGUAGCCGCACCAAACCCGAUGCUAAUGCUAGAAGCUAGCCCACUCUGUGUUAGCAUGUGCGCAUAUUGUGUAUAUAUAAAAAGUCUGCACACCCCUUUUCAAAUGGCAGGUUUUUGUGAUGUAAAAAAAACUGAGAACAAGGUAAAUAAUUUUUAAAACUUCUCCACCUGUAAUGUGACUUUUAACCUGUACAACUCAAACCAAUUUCUGUUUUUCUUUUUGAGAGGGAACGUUAAAAAAAAUCAACAACUUAGAAAAUGUUUUUGCACAAGUGUGCACACCCUUUUAUAACUGGUAUGUCAAUGUGUUCAGAAUGAGCCAAUCAGCACAGUCUGAGUCAACACACCUGGCACCAUUUAAAGUGCUGCUGAUUAACCCUACAUUCAUUCAUUCGUUCAUUCAUCUUCUGUUCCGCUUAUCCUCACGAGGGUCGCGGGCGUGCUGGAGCCUAUCCCAGCAAUCUUUGGGCGAGAGGCGGGGUACACCCUGAACUGGUCGCCAGCCCAUUCACCCUAUAUUAUUCAUUAUAAUUCCAGAUGUUCUAGUAGGCUUUUCUUGAUUAUUAUUAUUUUUGUUUUCUUUCUUUCUAGCUGAAUCCUGGAGGUUCUAUGCUACCACUGAGAGAAAAUAUGCCCGUGACACCAAUGAGCUUCGCUUUUCGGAGCAGGGCUCGGCCACUAUCCCCUUGCAAAUCGCGAACAUCUGCGAGUAAUUGACGGCCACCAAAAAAGUUUUGUAAUUGCGGCAAAGCCUGUCAAUUGAAAUAACGUCCUGGUUCUCAAUAAAGGGAUGGAAAUUGAAUUCAUAGGAAACCAUAAUCGACAGAUUAUGCGAUUAUUAAAAUAAUGGUUAGUUUCAGGACUAGAUUGAUUAUUUGUAAUAAAUAAAUUAGGUUUUCAGACCAAUUAAGUGAAAUCGGAUAAAUUCCCUCAACACUCCUCAUGAUCUUUUGUGGCACAGUGGUUGAGAAUCGCUGGACGAAUAAACUACACUGAUGAUGUGAAAGUAUCAAGAAAAUACUUGAAUUUACGACAUCUGCCGAACGAGCAGUGAGGAUAAACUCUUCUACCGUUCCAGCAUCGUCUGGCGCAUUUAAGUAUGCGAUCCGUCGUAUCCGCCACUGUUAUUGUUUGACGGAAAGUGGAGAAGAGCGGCCGCAGAGGUCGUUUCCAAACAUUUGUCACAGGUCUCCUCGGUAACAAAAUAUUUAAAGCGACGGCGUGUCUUUUAGAAGUGAAACAAAGAAAGUUGAUGCCUGACUGUAAAUGUUUUUUUGUUGUUUGUUUUCAAUCGGUAAUGGGUUUUACUGUAUAUUAGAGCAGACGUUAAUAAUCUGGUAAUAUUGCUGUGGGAGUUUCUCGACUGCCGUUUAGAAAGCAAAUUUAUAUGCAACAUUUUAAUUGUGGUGUUUGCACGCUCUCCCCGUGCUUGUCUGGGCUUUUUCUGGGUACUCCGACCUCCUCCCACACUCCAAAAACAUGCACAGGGCAUUGAGAACUCCAAAUUGUCCAUUUAGUAGUUACAGUAUGCACGUGAAUGCUUCUUUAUGUGCACUGCGAUUGGCUGGCGAGCAGUCCAGGACGGUGUACCCGUCUCUCGCUAAAAGUCCUCUUCGUUUAACUGUGAAUGUGAAAAUGGUUGUCCUUUGCAGACAGUGUGAAAGGGGAUUUGGGUUGGCGUUUCUUUGCACUUUUUACCAAAAGAAGCUCAGACUUUUACGACUUUCCAGUUUUUGUUAUACAUAUUUAGCAUCAUACAGAAGGCCUUGAGGCCCAGUGUAGGAUUACUAAUGGUGUUUAAAAAAAAAAAAGGUGAAUUAUAAAAAUCAAUAGUGAAGUAUGUGGCCACGUGUACAGAGUGGGCGAUCUUUUGCCUCUGUGGAUUCCAUCAGAGAGGAUAAUGGGCGAUAGGUCAGGUUGGCCAGGUUGACCCACCGCUGCCCACCGAGGUAAUUAUGAUUUGGGUGAGUUAAAACGGAUUUUCUCAUGUGGAGCAUAACGGUUAUGAAUGUUUUAUGUCCUGGGGGUUUGUAACGUGACCCAAAGGGCAAAAGACUGCUGAUUUUUGGUGGUUUUUUUUUUUUUUAGCAGCGGGAUACAUUCCACGAUGUUCAAAAUGUUCAACUAAACCAUAUAAUUUGAUCGAACAAGAGUCUGAUAAUGUAAUGCUAAAAUGUGUGAAGCCAUAGAAGGGCUAACAGAAGCAAUUGACCUCAGUGUUGCCCAGCAUGUUGCGGCACAACGAAGCGCUACGAUGAAGGUGCACAACCCCAACGUCAUAGUUUCCUGUAUCCUGUAAAAACUUAAAAAAACGAUCGCUUAAUAGUCCAAUUUAGCGGGUUCACUGCAUUGCUCAAACUGAGGAUGUCUCGUUAAAUGUGAUGAAAAUGAGAAACAUAAACAUAAAUGGAGGUUGUAAAACUGAAUGAAAUGGUAAUUAAAGGCGUCCAAAUAAAGGCUUACGAAAGUAUAGCUCAUAAAAGACACCGUAUAAAGCCGGUUUAUGAACACGUCACUUGUAACAAUGAUCACAGCGCUAAUAAAACCAUCACGUCUGGAAGUCCUGACCUCAUUUGUUGCUUUAUUAGCACUAUUGAUUUUUACAAUCCACCCCCACCCCAGUUCAGUUCAACUUCCUGCUGGAGGCGGUGGAUGUUCACAUAUCAGCUUUGUCAGAACACCAACAAACAUCAGCAAAUUCUCCUCAAACAGAUUAGCGCUUGU